rnacentral:rRNA from 1 species
CCUACGGGAGGCAGCAGUGAGGAAUAUUGGUCAAUGGGCGGGAGCCUGAACCAGCCAAGCCGCGUGAGGGAAGAAGGUACAGCGUAUCGUAAACCUCUUUUGUCAGGGAACAAAGGCGGGGACUAGUCCCCGGAUGAGGGUACCUGAAGAAAAAGCAUCGGCUAACUCCGUGCCAGCAGCCGCGGUAAUACGGAGGAUGCGAGCGUUAUCCGGAUUUAUUGGGUUUAAAGGGUGCGCAGGCGGCCUGUUAAGUCAGCGGGAAAAGCCCGGGGCUCAACCCCGGCGAGCCGUUGAGACUGGCGGGCUGGAGUUGGAGAGAAGUACGCGGAAUGCGCGGUGUAGCGGUGAAAUGCUUAGAUAUCGCGCAGAACCCCGAUUGCGAAGGCAGCGUACCGGCUCCACACUGACGCGGAGGCACGAAAGCGUGGGUAUCGAACAGGAUUAGAUACCCGUGUAGUC